GCGGGCCGUGAGAGCGGGAGCCCGGAGAUGGGCACUGAGACAAGGGCCCAGGUCCUACGGGGCGCAGCAGUCGCGAAAACUUUGCAAUAAGCGAAAGCUUGACAGGGCUAUCCCGAGUGCCAUCCGCUGAGGAAGGCUUUUACCCAGUCUAGAACGCUGGGGGAAUAAGGAGAGGGCAAGUCUGGUGUCAGCCGCCGCGGUAAUACCAGCUCUCCGAGUGGUGUGGAUGUUUAUUGGGCCUAAAGCAUCCGUAGCUGGCUAGGUCAGUCCCUUGUUAAAUCCACCGAAAUUAAUCGUUGGAUUGCGGGGGAUACUGCUUGGCUAGGGGACGAGAGAGGCAGACGGUAUUUUCGGGGUAGGGGGGGAAAUCCUAUAAUCCCGGGAAGACCACCCAGGU
rnacentral:rRNA from 1 species